GAUGAAUGCUGGCGGCGUGGAUGAGGCAUGCAAGUCGAAUGAAUUUAGAUUCAUGGCAGACGAGGUAGGAACACGUAGGUACGUACCCAAGAGUCAGGGAUAACCCGGUGAAAAUCGGAAUAAUACUUGAUAGUCCCUUCGGGGUAAAGAUUUAUCGCUCUUGGAACGGCCUGCGGUCUAUCAGCUUGAUGGUAAGGUAACGGCUUACCAUGGCUACGACGGAUAGGGGAGGUGAGAGCCUGACCCCCACCGAUGGAACUGCGACACGGUCCAU
rnacentral:rRNA from 1 species